rnacentral:rRNA from 1 species
UUGUUUUCCUCUCAAUAUCUGAGUCGUGUAAACAACAUUAGCACUGCCUUGAUCAAUGGAUAGAAGGGCAACCAAUUGGUUGCUGCAUACUAUGCUUAUAUGCGUGGUCUUGCCGAUGAACUCGCCAUGGCCGGCAAGCCCAUCCAGGAUGAUGAGCUCAUCUCCUACCUACUGCAUGGGCUGGACAUGGACUACCAGCCCCUCGUCUCCGCCAUCGACGCCCGCGUCACGUCGGUCUCCCUCGAUGAGUUGUACGCCAUGCUGAGCAAUUUUGAUCAGCGUGUCGCUCAGUUUCACAGCGCCCGCGGUGGCUUCAAGUCCUCGGCCAACGUGGCCACUCGCGAGUACGGCGGGUACUCAUCUCGUCAUCGCGGUCCUCCUCGACACAAGGGCAAGCAAGGCGGUGGCGGCUCCAGCAACUCUAGCUCCCGUGGUGGACGCCCCAACUUCACCAGCAACAGGGGCCGCCGAGGCGGGGGCGGCAACAGCUCGGGCAGAUCACGACCCGAUGCUGUGCGCUGCCAGAUCUACGGCAAGCCUGGCCACACAACCAAGGACUGCAGGUAUCGCUUCGAUGAAGACGAAGCCUCCUCUGAAGAAGAUGACAAGAUUGCCGCUGCCGCCGAUGGAUCAUAUGGCGUUGAUACUAACUGGUAUCUCGACAGUGGUGCAACAAAUCAUCUCACGGGGAGCUCGAGAAGGUGA